UACGUAGGGUGCAAGCGUUAAUCGGAAUUACUGGGCGUAAAGCGUGCGCAGGCGGUUUUGUAAGUCUGUCUUGAAAGCCCCGGGCUCAACCUGGGAAUUGCGAUGGAGACUGCAAGGCUUGAAUCUGGCAGAGGGGGGUAGAAUUCCACGUGUAGCAGUGAAAUGCGUAGAGAUGUGGAGGAACACCGAUGGCGAAGGCAGCCCCCUGGGUCAAGAUUGACGCUCAUGCACGAAAGCGUGGGGAGCAAACAGG
rnacentral:rRNA from 1 species